ACCUCUCUUUGUUUCAAAUUUCA
rnacentral:snRNA from 1 species